GAAAUUCUAGGCAUUAGGAGAUGGAUUUAGAGAAAUAUGCAUAUAUGCAUUUAUCUUUGUAUAGGUGUGUGUAUAUACCAUCUAAAAUAUUAUUCAGAGUAACUCCUAGACUGUAAUUAACAAUGACCCUAAAAAUAAAUCAGGUUUUGUUCUUUUUUAUGUUUUCUGUGAUGUUAAGAGGAAGAUUAAAAGGUUCUCUGCGUCACAACCAACAAUAAAAAAUUAAAAAAAGAAAAAAGAAAAAAAAAAAAGGUUCUCUGCGUGAACUUUAGCCUAAUUAUUUUCUUUGUAUAUUGCAGGGUUGGCAAACCAUGGGCCACAUUCAGUCCAUUAUCUGUUUUGGUAUGGCCUGCAAGUUAAGACUGGUUUUUACAUUUUUCAAUGAAAAACAAAAUCAAAACACACCAGACACUAGUAUGGCAAUAUGUAAAUCAAUGGAUGUGUAACUGAUGUGAUUCUGCAAUCUGUAUAUGGGGUAAAAAUGGGAGCUCAUAACCCACUUGAAUCAAAGUGUGAAAUAUGAUAUAUCAAGAACUAUGUAAUGUUUUGAACAGCCAACAAUAAAAAAUUAAAAAAAAAAAAAAAAAAGAAUACUGGAGCUGGGGGUGUGGUUCAGUGGUGGAGGGCCUGCCUGGUAUAUGCGAGGCACUGGGUUUGAUCCUCAGCACCACAUAAAAAUAAAUAAAUAAAUAAAAUAAAGGUAUUCUGUCCAUCUACAACUAAAAUUUGUGUCAUGUGAAAAUUACAGGAAAUUCAGGUUUCUGUGUGAAACACACACAGUUUUAUUGGAACCUAGCCAUGCUCAUUUGUUUAUAUAUUGACUGUGGCUGUUUGGGGGUACAACAGCAGACUUGAGUAGUUGCCAUAGAGACCAUAUGGCCUGCAAAGCCUAAAUAUUUACUAUUUGGCUCUUUACAGAAAAAGUUUGCUGGUUCUUGGUCUAUUACACAGUCUGUGCUCAUUAAGUACUUAUUGAAUAUUAUGAGCUGUGCUACACCUUGCCCUUUGAAGGCUUUUGCAGGGAAUAAUUGCAUUUAUUUAUUAAGAGAAAAUUGGUCACCUUGCCUUAGUAUAGAUUUAUCUGACAGACCCCUAUUGAGCCCCGUGAUGAUACAAUACUCUUAUUAUGUCUACCUCUGAAGAAUUCAGUUUCUGACAAAGUGUGUUAUUAGAUUCUAUUCCUUUUUCAAAGAAGUAUCCCAUGUAAGAGGUUUGGAGCACAGCAUGUAAGAACAUUUUUCUUUAGUCAAAUUUCAGUCUAUCACGUAUUUUGCACAAAAAACGUUGUUGUUAUACUUUUAUAUACCUGGAUUUUGUAUAUUAGCUUGUUAAACAGAUACUAUGUGUAAAGUAUGAGUUGUUGGAGUACUUAUGUUGGAAAAAUUGGGGGAUUUUUAUGGAGUAUAUUAACAUAUUCACUCACUUGAUAUUUAUUGACCACCUAUUAGGUACAAAUUUUGUUGUAUUUGACUUGAGGGUGAAAAUUUUCUUCCAUAAAUAAAAGCUAAAAUUGAAUUCAGAA
rnacentral:lncRNA from 1 species